GGUAGGGUGGCCGAGGAAGGCGUGGGGCUGUAAACCCCAGCACGGAGAAAAGUAGUCUUCCCCUAUCA